AUUGAACGCUGGCGGCAUGCCUUACACAUGCAAGUCGAACGGCAGCAUAGGAGCUUGCUCCUGAUGGCGAGUGGCGAACGGGUGAGUAAUAUAUCGGAACGUGCCCUAGAGUGGGGGAUAACUAGUCGAAAGACUAGCUAAUACCGCAUACGAUCUACGGAUGAAAGUGGGGGAUCGCAAGACCUCAUGCUCCUGGAGCGGCCGAUAUCUGAUUAGCUAGUUGGUGGGGUAAAAGCUCACCAAGGCGACGAUCAGUAGCUGGUCUGAGAGGACGACCAGCCACACUGGGACUGAGACACGGCCCAGACUCCUACGGGAGGCAGCAGUGGGAAAUUUGGACAAUGGGGGCAACCCUGAUCCAGCAAUGCCGCGUGAGUGAAGAAGGCCUUCGGGUUGUAAAGCUCUUUUGUCAGGGAAGAAACGGUUCUGGAUAAUACCUGGGACUAAUGACGGUACCUGAAGAAUAAGCACCGGCUAACUACGUGCCAGCAGCCGCCGUAA
rnacentral:rRNA from 1 species